GUCAAUAUCUGUCAACUUGUAUCGGCAUGGUCACGGGGAAAAAUCUUGCAGAGAUUUGCCGUCAGGAGUACAGUCAGGUGAUAUGUGUUGCUCUUGGUCUUCAGGCAUGGGUAUCCUUGUUAACCUCUGAAGUAACCAUGGCGUGGCAGUGGGGUUCAACCUUGUGUUUGAACACGAUGAUCUUAUCACAGCCAUAUGUAUUGCAAGUGUUGUAGUU